UACGUAGGGUGCGAGCGUUUGUCCGGAAUUACUGGGCGUAAAGAGCUCGUAGGUGGUUUGUCGCGUUGUCCGUGAAAACUCACAACUCAAUUGUGGGCGUGCGGGCGAUACGGGCAGACUGGAGUACUGCAGGGGAGACUGGAAUUCCUGGUGUAGCGGUGGAAUGCGCAGAUAUCAGGAGGAACACCGGUGGCGAAGGCGGGUCUCUGGGCCGAUACUGACGUGAGGAGCGAAAGCGUGGGGGAGCGAACAGG
rnacentral:rRNA from 1 species